CAAAGGUCCACUCAGUUUCAAGGGGUGGUAACAUGGACCCCACUUCUCAGUGGAGGAACAUCAAUGUCACAUUAUGAGAAGAACACGUGGGACGGACAUGUAUUGUGCUGCUGUCUUUGGAAAAUACAAUCUGGUACAACUCCCUACUGGUGGGAUCUCACACACAAACGGAGCCCAGUCAGCGAUGACCAGAAAGUUUCCUGCUUUGAAGUAGGCCUUCCCUGGGCUCAAGGAGGAGCUUAAAGACUGAAGGUUCUGGGGACUAGGAUGUGGACAUAUUUUUUGGGAGGGCCACCAUUCAACCCACCACAAUGCCAAUUUUACAGAUGAUGAAACCGAGUAACUUGCUAAAGCAACACAGCUAGUAAUAGCAGAACAGAGAAGGCAAUCCAGGCAGUCUGGCUCUGAAGCCCAUGUUCUUAGCAGAGAAAUGAGGGGACAAGACCAGUUCUGGAGGCUAGAAGUCCAACAUUUGCAGUUGGCAAGCUGGAGACCCAGGAGAGCCAAUGGUACAGUUCCAACCUGAGUCUGAAGAUCUAAGAACUGGCAGAGCUGAUGGUAUGAGUUCCAGUUCAUGUUUGAGUCCAGGGGCAGGAGAAGACCAAUCUCCCAGCUUGAAGACAGUCAGGCAGAGGGAAGGUCUGUAUUAACUAGGAUUCUUUUGGCUGCAAGUGACAGAAACCCAACUCAAACUACUGUAAGCAAGAAGAGGAAUUGAUUGGCUCACCAAGAAAAAUUUGAACAGCCAGAUUAUGUGAAAAGGAGGGGAAUCUGGAUUUCAGGAAGAAGUGGCAACAGG
rnacentral:lncRNA from 1 species